CUCCCCGCGGCACUCCAGCUCCGAAGAGCGAGCUUCGGUUCCGCCCGCCCUCCAGACCAUUUGCUUAUUCUCACUAUUGUUUUAAUUUAUUGUGCAGCCUGUUGCGCCGCGGGCCCGGCUGAGCCAUUUGGGGCCCUCUAGAUGCCCUGCAGGGCGCCUGUCCCCGGACGACCACCACGCAGGAGCAGCGGGGGCACGCGCGUGUUUUCUUGUGGAUAACUGCCUCGGACUUGGCGGGGCCGGUCCCCACCUGAAGCUCACCUCAGGCAGUCGCUAGAAGUUCCAAUCCAAUUGCUUUGGAAAUUUAGAAAGCGCGCUUUCAUUUGUACAUCGCCUGCCGACAGCCCCUUUGCUGAUUAGAGAAGCCUUGUUCCCCCUCUCCACGCGUACGCACACUCAUUUUUAGUUUUAAUAAAUGAUUUAAAAAU
rnacentral:lncRNA from 1 species